rnacentral:rRNA from 1 species
AGCGUUGCUCGGAAUUACUGGGCGUAAAGCGCACGUAGGCGGAUACUUAAGUUAGGGGUGAAAUCCCGGGGCUCAACCCCGGAACUGCCUUUAAUACUGGGUAUCUAGAGUCCGAGAGAGGUGAGUGGAAUUCCGAGUGUAG